UGGACUCUAAACAGUGUCCCUUCGCUUUUUCUCGUGCUCCGUAUCAACUUCAAAAAAAAAAAAUGAGGUUGAAUUUUCUUUGUACGGAAAAACUAAAGCAUUGCAAAUUCCCCAAAAAAAAACAAAAGGGUAAAGCAUUUUGGACUUCUAUCUUAUCCCUCUAGAUUCCAACAUGUUCAAGUGAAUUUUCUCCGAUUCUAACGCAAUCCCUCGCCCCAUGGAAGCAAAAACUGUUAAUACAGUUGAUGAUCCAUCAUCAGCACGCUUCACAUGGAGGGUUGACAACUUUUCCACGCUGAAUACACAGAAGCUAUACUCUGAAAGUUUUUCAUCUCUACCCUCUUUCUAGAUUUUGAUUUUGGUCCUUAUGUUUGAUUUUUAAGUUUUUUUUUUUUUUUGGUCUGGGAAAGGCGGUUGCUUAUAUUUCCGAAGGGGAACAAUGUGGACCAUUUAUCGAUCUAUUUAGAUUCUGCAAGUUCAGUAACUUUGCCAUCUGGGUGGAGCAAAUUCGCGCAAUUCAGCUUAUCUGUGAUCAAUCAAAUUGAUAACAAGUCCACAAAGAAGAAAGACUUUAAACACCGGUUCAAUGCACGAGAAAGAGAUUGGGGUGGGCUUGAAUUAGUGCCUCUUAGUGAACUGUAUGACCCUGGUAGAGGUUAUCUUGUGAACGAUACAUGUGUUGUUGAAGCUGAUUUCCCUGGCUUCCGUUCAGUUGAACUUAAGGUUGAGGCGGCAAAGACUGCCUGAGGCAGAGAUGAAACUCCUAAUUCUUCUUCUCAAGGGGAUAUUGAUGGGAGGAUUAGACAGAAUGAUUCUGAUACUGAUGCAACCCUGCCUCAGACUGAUACCUCGGGCCCUCCUCCUGCCAGUAAAUCAGCAACUGAAGUGAUCAAGUCUUCGGUCCCACCAGCCACUCCAAUUGUUGAAAAGGAAUCAAUGGUUAAUUCCCCUCACGCCCAAGAUCCGGAAGUUGAGUUGCCAAGGAGUCUUCCAAUGGGUUCUCCUCUUGAGUCAUCUUCAUUUGAUGACAUGGAUGCCUAUACCUCCAAGUUGGUGUCUGUAGUAGAGACUGAUGCACAUUUUGACUCCACUACUGAAGGAUCGGUCGUCGCCUCCAUUCCUCAAUCAACUGUUGAUGAAGCCAAAAAAUUCUUUAUAAAGAUGUUAUCUCGGGACCUAUGAGAAAUUCCUGAUUUUGCCGCACACAUUACAGAAUCCAUCCGUGUCUUAUCAGAGUGUCAUGACCUCACUCCAGCCCAGCUUGCACAGCUGAAAUCCCUCAAGGUUGAGUUUCCAUCAGUUCUCAAAACUUUGACUUCCAGCCAUUCUUUUAAGGAGGUCGAGG